rnacentral:lncRNA from 1 species
GUUGACUCAGGCCUGCCAAGCAGUCAGCAGUGAGCAGGGGAGGAGGCCAGGGCUGCUGGGGGUCGGCGCUGAGGAAGCCAGGAUUUUCCGAGGGCCAAUGCCGGGAGCCACGCCAACGCCAGGAGCCACACCAACUCCAGGAGCCACGCCAACUCCAGGAGCCAAGCCAACUCCAGGAGCCACACCGACACCAGGAGCCACGCCAACUCCAGGAGCCACGCCGACACCAGGAACUAACCCUGCAAGAUUGAGAAGAGCUGAUCAUUAACCAAGACCUGAUCAAAGAGGACAGAAGCUUAUGGAAAGAGGGCUGGAGCCUCGGCCCUGGCAUAGAUUUGCUGUGUGACCCUGGAUCAGUUACUUUCCCUUGCUGGGCCUCAGCUUCCUCCUCCCUAAUAUGAAGUGUGUGCAGGCUCAGGAGUUCAUAACUUUGUUUUUUUGGAGACAGAGUCUCACUCUAUCGCCCAGGCUGGAGUGCAAUGGCGUGAUCUCGACUCACUGCAACCACCACCUCCCGAGUUCAAGUGAGUCUCCUGCCUCAGCCUCCUGAGUAGCUGGGACUACAGGUGCGCACCACCAUGCCCGGCUAAUUUUUUUGUAUUUUUAGUAGAGACAGGGUUUCACCAUGUUGGCCAGGCUGGUCUUAAACUCCUGACCUUGGGUGAUCCACCCGACUUGGCCUCCCAAAGUUCUGGGAUUAUAGUUGUGAGCUGCUGCAUUUGGCCAGGAGUUCUUAACCUUUUCAGUGACAAGGACCCCUUGGAGAUUUGAGGCUGAUGGAGGCAGAUUUACAUUAUAUAAGGGACUUUGUAAGACAGAAAGGCUUUGGGUUCAAAUCUCAGCUCAGCCACCAUUUAGCUGUGCAACUGUAGGCAAGUUACUUAAGCUCUGGGAACCUCAGUUUCCACAUCUGUAAAAUGGGAAAAAUAAAAUCAACUCUGUAAGAUUUUUGUAGGCCAGACACGUUGGCUCAUGCCUGUCAUCCCAGCACUUUGAGAGGCCAAUGUGGGAGGAUCGCAUACAAUUUUUUUUUUUUUUAAACUGGGCAUGGUGGCAUGUGACUGUAGCCCCAGCUACUAGGGAUACUAAGGGGGAAUAAUGGCUUAAGCUAGGAGUUUGAGGCCUGCGGCGAGCUGACGGCAUCACUGCACUCCAACCUGGGCGACAAUGUGAGACCCCGUCUCAAAUAAAUAAAUAAUAAAGAUUGCUGUGUGUGAGAAUAUGGGGCUCAGCAGACCUGCAGUCGAAAUGCUCUCUGGCCUAUUCAGUCCUAGAGAUUCUGAUCUGAACCUUUCAGCCCACAGGUCCCUAGGGCCAAGGCCUACAGACCCCAUGCCCAGGGCCUGACAUACAGUUGAGCUCUACAAUUGGUGCUGCCACGAUUUGCCAUGUUCAGAAAAGUGUGGGCACCUGGGGCUGCCAGGGUGGCCCUCAAAUGUAGCAAGAGAUGGGGAACAAGAAGUACUGCAGGCCGGGUGUGGUGGCUCACGCCUGUAAUCCCAGGACUUUGGGAGGCAGAGGCAGGAGGAUCGCUUUAGCCUAGGAGUUUGAGACCAGCCUGAGCAACAUAGUGAGACCGCUGUCGCUACAAAAAAAUUAAAAAAUUAGCCAGGCAUGGUGGUGGGCACCUGUGGUCUCAGCUCUUGGGGGGCGGAAGCAGGCAGACUGCUUGAGACUGGGAGGUUGAGGCUGUAGUGAGCUAUGAUUGUGGCACUGUACCCCAUCCUGGGUGACAGAGCUAGACCCUAUCUCAAGAAAAAAGGAGAAGGAGAAGAAAGAAGAAGGAGGAAAAGGAGGAGAAGAAAGACGGAAGAGAAGAGAAGAAGGAGGAGAAAGAAGCAGAGGAAGAAGAAGAAGAAGGAGAAAGAAGAAGAAAGAAGGAGAAAAAGAGGAAGAAGAAGAAGAAAGAAGAAGAAGGAGAAGAAAGGAGAAGCAGGAGGAGGAGGAAGAGGGAGGAGAAGGAAAAGAAGCAGGAGGAGAAGAAGAGGAAGGAGAAGAAGAAGAAUGAGAAGGAGGAGGAGGGAGAAGGAGAAGGAGGAGGAGGAGAAGAAAGAAGAAGAAGAAGAAGGAAGAGGAGCACAAGAAGAAGAAGGAGAAGGAGAAAGAGAAGGAGAAGGGGGAGAACUGGAGUCCCUCAAGGGGAGCUGGAGCUCAGCAUGAGGUGUGACUAAGGCUCACGGGAAAUGCCAACUCCCGGGACACCUCCGACUCCGGGAACACCUCCGACACCAGGGACACCUGCGACUCCAGGGAUACCUCCGACUCCGACACCAAAGCCGGGAAAGCCCCCAGCUCCAACCCCGAAUUGCCCCAGGCACGCCAGGAACACCAGCCCCUCCAACACCAGGGAGGACUCCGGCUGCUCCAGCACCUGUUGAGAUGGGGACAGUGCAAUGUAGUUUCCCAAGGACCCUCCUGAGGACAGGCAGGAUGGCCACUUAGACGCCGGCGUUUUCACCAGUGUGAUCUUAUCCAGGAAUGGGGCCCGGGUGUCUCCAGAUGGGCCUGUCUGGGGAGGCCCCCACCCCACUCCACUGUUCCUUGACUCUCCCCCAAAGUGUCCAUUUCAACACACUCAUUAAGGGACUUGUAUGUUUUCAGACAAAUCCCAUUCUAAUCACUGCCACAUACUGAGAAACCACAAGUGGCCGCUCCCUGGGCCAGAGGGUCCCCUGCAGGAAUGUUCAAGACUUCCUCUCCCUGUGUUCCGAAGAUGCAGCCAAGUUUGUAAUCCAAGCGCCUGGCUGCUUGGCUCUGGCAGCCCCUCACAGCCCUGCUCUCCCGCUCCCACAUUGCAGCCGUCCCCACCAGCCGCUGGGGCCAAGGAGCCUCGGGUGCUGGGAGGGGGGCCUGCGGGGCCUCCACUGGGAGGCCCAGCUUCAGGCUUCUCCCCACAUUCUCGCUCUCUCGGGCUGGUGGGGAGAUAAGGAAAGGGCUUCCCUGGGGCUGAGGAUGAAGGAGGACUUCAGCCCUAGUGGUCUGACCCUGAGGUGGGCACUACCUGGGGCAGGGGACAGAUGCCCACUCCACCCACUGCACGGGCACAGGAAUACCACGUUCCAUCUGCAGCCAUGCUAGCCAAGAACUCACUGACCUGAGCAGUGAGUUAACAUUUUUAUAGUACACAUUAAAUUGAUACAUAACUAUUAAAUAUUUUAAAUGCUUAUAUAUGCACCACCUAAAAUUAUCUUUCUAACCACCGUGGUACCCAUUCCCUCUGCUUGGCCUCCUCUUUCCUGUUUUAACCACAUGGUAAGCUCCAUCUUUAUUUUUAAGGCCUAAAUCACAUGUCACUUUCUCUGGGAAGCCUUUCUAACUUUCCUCAGGUAGAAAAAAAUGCCUCCCGUUUCUUGACUCCCACAACAGUGGCUAUAUUCUCUAAGAGAACUCUUGUUUGUCCCUGAUCUCUGAUAUGGAUGGGUGGGAGGAGGCAGUGAGGGAGGGAAGGAAGGAGGCAUGGAUGAAUGCAUGGAGGAAAGAAUGAAUGAAUGAAUGAAUGAAUGAAUGAAUGAAUGCAUGGGUGAAUGGAUGGAUGGGUGCAUGGAUGCAUGGAGGAAUGGAUGGAUGGAUGGAUGCAUGCAUGGAGAAAUGGAUGGAUGGGUGCAUGGAGGAAUGGAUGGAGGGAUGCACGGAAGAAUGGGCAGAUGGAUGGAUGGAUGGAUGGAAGAAUCAAUGGAGGGAGUGAUGGAUAGAUGGAUUGAUGGAUGGAUGGAUGGAUGGAUGGAUGGACGAGUGGAUGGAUGGGUAAAUGGAUGGAUGGAUGAGUGGAUGGAUGAAUGGAUGGAUGGAUAGAUGGAUGCAUGGAGGAAUGGAUGCAUGGAGGAAUGGAUGGAUGAGUGGAUGGAUAGAGGGAAGAAUGGAUGAAUGAGUGGAUGGAUAGAGGGAAGAAUGGAUGGAAGGAAGAAUUGAUGGGUAGAUGGAUGGAUGGAUGGAUAGAUGGGUGAGUGGAUGGAUGGAUGGAUGGAUGGAUGGAUGGAUGGAAGGAUGCAUGGAGAAAUGGAUGGAUGGGUGGAUGGAUGCAUGGAGGAAUAGAUGGAUGGAUGGAUGGAUGGAUGAAUGGAUGGAAGGAUGGAUGCAUGCAUGGAGAAAUGGAUGGGUGGGUGCAUGGAGGAAUGGAUGGAGGGAUGCAUGGAAGAAUGGGCAGAUGGAUGGAUGGAAGAAUCGAUGGAGGGAGUGAUGGAUGGGUGGAUUGAUGUAUGGAUUGAUGUAUGGAUGGAUGGAUGGAUGGAUUGAGUGGAUGGAUGGGUAAAUGGAUGGAUGGAUGAGUGGAUGGAUGAAUGGAUGGAUGGAUAGAUGGAUGCAUGGAGGAAUGGAUGCAUGGAGGAAUGGAUGGAUGAGUGGACGGAUAGAGGGAAGAAUGGAUGGAUGAGUGGAUGGAUAGAGGGAAGAAUGGAUGGAGGGAAGAAUUGAUGGGUGGAUGGAUGGAUGGAAGGAUGAAUGCAUGGAGGAAUGGAUGGAUGGAUGAAUGGAUGCAUGGAGGAAUAGAUGGUGGAUGGAUGGAUGGAAGGAUGGAUGGAAGGAUGGAUGCAUGCAUGGAGAAAUGGAUGGAUGGGUGCCUAGAGGAAUGGAUGGAGGGAUAGAUGGAUGCAUGGAGGAAUGGUUGGAUGGAUGAAUGGGUAUAUGGGGGAAUAGAUGGAUAGAUGGUGGAUGGAUGAAUGGAGCGAGGGAGUGAUGGAUGGAUAAAUGGAUGGAUGGAUGAGGGGAUGGAUGGAUGGGUGCAUAGAUGGAUGGAUGCAUGGAGGAAUGGAUGGAUGCGUGGAUGGAUGGAUGGAAGAAUGGAUGGAGGGAGGGAUUGAUGGAUGGAAGAAUGGAUGGAGGGAGGGAUUGAUGGAUGGAUGAAUGGGUGGAUAAGUGGAUGGAUGGAUGGAUAGAUGGCUGCAUGGAGGAAUGGAGGAUGGAUGAAUGGAGGGAGGUAGUGAUGGAUGGGUGGAUGAAUGGAUAGAUGGAUGAGUGGGUGGAUGGAUAAAUGGAUGGAUGGAUGUGUGGACAGAUGGAUGGAUAGAUGGAUCCAUGGAGAAAUGGAUGGAUGGAUGGAUGGAUGGAUGGAUGGAUAGAUGGAUGGAUGAAUGGAUGGAGGGAGAGAUGGAUGGAUGAAUGAGUGGAUGGAUGAGUGGAUGGAUGGAUGGAUGCAUGGAUGUGUAAAUAAGUAGAUGAAUGGAUAGAUAAGUGGAUGGAUGGAUAGAUGGAUGCAUGGAGGAAUGGAUGGAUGGAUGGAUGAAUGGAUGGAGGGAGAGAUGGAUGGAUGAAUGAAUGGACGGAUGAGUGGAUGGAUGCAUGGAUGGGCAGAUGAGUACAUGAAUGGAUGGAUGGAUAGAUGGAUGCAUGGAGGAAUGGGAAUGGAUGGAGGGAGGGAUGGAGAAAGUAAUAGAUUGAUGGA